GUUCAAGAGUUGGAUAGGAAAGGAAGAAGAAAGAGAUCAGAUCUCUUGUCUUCUUCCAUAGAUCUUCAUAUUUUCUCUUGACAAGAGAAAAGGAAAAAAGAAAUCAGAUGUGAUUUGAUUUUAUCCUCCUCUUUUAGAUCUAUUGGAUUCUCUUGGGAAGAAAAUUAAAGGAUCAAGCUGAUUCAACAAUCGAAGGAGCAAUCUCUGCAAAAAAACUAGCAUCCUGAUGAGAUCAAAUCCUCCUGAUUAG
rnacentral:lncRNA from 1 species